UGCAAGUCGAGCGGUAAGGCCCUUCGGGGUACACGAGCGGCGAACGGGUGAGUAACACGUGGGUGAUCUGCCUCGCACUCUGGGAUAAGCCUGGGAAACUGGGUCUAAUACCGGAUAUGACCACGAAUCGCAUGGUUUGUGGUGGAAAGGUUUACUGGUGCGAGAUGGGCCCGCGGCCUAUCAGCUUGUUGGUGGGGUAACGGCCUACCAAGGCGACGACGGGUAGCCGGCCUGAGAGGGCGACCGGCCACACUGGGACUGAGACACGGCCCAGACUCCUACGGGAGGCAGCAGUGGGGAAUAUUGCACAAUGGGCGAAAGCCUGAUGCAGCGACGCCGCGUGAGGGAUGACGGCCUUCGGGUUGUAAACCUCUUUCGACAGGGACGAAGCGCAAGUGACGGUACCUGUAGAAGAAGCACCGGCCAACUACGUGCCAGCAGCCGCGGUAAUACGUAGGGUGCGAGCGUUGUCCGGAAUUACUGGGCGUAAAGAGCUUGUAGGCGGUCUGUCGCGUCGAUCGUGAAAACGUGCAGCUCAACUGCGCGCCUGCGGUCGAUACGGGCAGACUAGAGUACUUCAGGGGAGACUGGAAUUCCUGGUGUAGCGGUGAAAUGCGCAGAUAUCAGGAGGAACACCGGUGGCGAAGGCGGGUCUCUGGGAAGUAACUGACGCUGAGAAGCGAAAGCGUGGGUAGCGAACAGGAUUAGAUACCCUGGUAGUCCACGCCGUAAACGGUGGGUACUAGGUGUGGGUUUCCUUCCACGGGAUCCGUGCCGUAGCUAACGCAUUAAGUACCCCGCCUGGGGAGUACGGCCGCAAGGCUAAA
rnacentral:rRNA from 1 species